ensembl:lncRNA
CGCCAGUCCAAGAGGUUCAAACAUGAAGAGUUACAGAUCACGAACAAUAGUAACCAGGGGUUCUGAGGAACAACAGGAACCAGAGGUUCUGAGGAACAACAGGAACCAGAGGUUCUGAGGAGGAACAACAGGAACCAGGGGUUCUGAGGAGGAAAGACAGAAACCAGGGGUUCUGAGGAGGAACAACAGGAACCAGAGGUUCUGAGGAGGAACAACAGUAACCAGAGGUUCUGAGGAACAACAGGAACCAGAGGUUCUGAGGAGGAACAACAGGAACCAGGGGUUCUGAGGAGGAAAGACAGAAACCAGGGGUUCUGAGGAGGAACAACAGGAACCAGGGGUUCUGAGGAGGAACAACAGUAACCAGGGGUUCUGAGG